rnacentral:lncRNA from 1 species
UCAAAUUGGCUGUAUGCUAUGUUAAAUAAUGCAAGCUCGUUUUUCGCCUUUACAUCCAAAAGCAGACUUAAUUAAAGAACUUUUGGGUUAAUACCAUCUAAAACUAAUCAGUUUGUCAUACCACACUAUCGACGAAGACGCCUUCAUGAUGCAACAUGUCGAUUGGUUGUAUGCUAUGAUACACAAGUAAUAACAUAAAAGACACCAUCGAGGGUGGUUAACCUAUAGUAUUGCUUGGCACCAAGCAAUACCUAAGCUAGAAUACUUCAUUGAUAGAAAUCAAAUGCUC